rnacentral:rRNA from 1 species
GACGAACGCUGGCGGCGUGCUUAACACAUGCAAGUCGAACGGUGAACGAGGGAGCUUGCUCCCUCCGGAUCAGUGGCGAACGGGUGAGUAACACGUGAGCAAUCUGCCCCGAACUCUGGGAUAAGCGUUGGAAACGACGUCUAAUACCGGAUACGACGCGGGAGGGCAUCCUCUCCGCGUGGAAAGAACUUCGGUUCGGGAUGAGCUCGCGGCCUAUCAGCUUGUUGGUGAGGUAACGGCUCACCAAGGCGACGACGGGUAGCCGGCCUGAGAGGGUGACCGGCCACACUGGGACUGAGACACGGCCCAGACUCCUACGGGAGGCAGCAGGGGGGAAUAUUGCACAAUGGGCGGAAGCCUGAUGCAGCAACGCCGCGUGAGGGACGACGGCCUUCGGGUUGUAAACCUCUUUUAGCAGGGAAGAAGCGAAAGUGACGGUACCUGCAGAAAAAGCACCGGCUAACUACGUG